UGGGGAAUAUUGCGCAAUGGGCGAAAGCCUGACGCAGCAACGCCGCGUGAGUGAUGAAGGCCUUCGGGUCGUAAACCCCUGUCGAAUGGGACGAAAGACUCACGAGUGAAUACUUCGCGAGAGUGACGGUACCGUUAAAGGAAGCCACGGCUAACUCUGUGCCAGCAGCCGCGGUAAUACAGAGGUGGCAAGCGUUGUUUGGAAUUACUGGGCGUAAAGGGCGCGUAGGCGGCCCUCUAAGUCAGACGUGAAAUCCCCCGGCUUAACCUGGGAACUGCGUCUGAUACUGGAGGGCUUGAGUAUGGGAGAGGGAUGUAGAAUUCCAGGUGUAGCGGUGAAAUGCGUAGAUAUCUGGAGGAAUACCGGUGGCGAAGGCGGCAUCCUGGACCAUUACUGACGCUGAGGCGCGAAAGCUAGGGGAGCAAACGGGAUUAGAUACCCGAGUAGUCCCUGAGCGGGCUGGCAAGGCGCAU
rnacentral:rRNA from 1 species